rnacentral:rRNA from 1 species
UACGAGGGGGGCUAGCGUUGCUCGGAAUCACUGGCGUAAAGGGUGCGUAGGCGGGUUUUUAAGUCAGGGGUGAAAUCCUGGAGCUCAACUCCAGAACUGCCUUUGAUACUGAAGAUCUUGAGUUCGGGAGAGGUGAGUGGAACUGCGAGUGUAGAGGUGAAAUUCGUAGAUAUUCGCAAGAACACCAGUGGCGAAGGCGGCUCACUGGCCCGAUACUGACGCUGAGGCACGAAAGCGUGGGGAGCAAACAGGG